rnacentral:rRNA from 1 species
AACGAACGCUGGCGGCAUGCUUAACACAUGCAAGUCGAACGAGACGUUCGGGUCUUGUGGCGCACGGGUGCGUAACGCGUGGGAAGCUGCACUUGGGUUAGGAACAACUCCCUGAGAGGGGUGCUAAUACCGGAUAAUGUAUUCGGACCAAAGAUUUAUUGCUUUUGGGUGGGGGCGGGUUAGUUUAGCUGGUUGGUAGGGUAAAAGCCUACCAAGGGGACGUUGCAUAGCUGGUGUGUGAGGAUGACCUGGCACACUGGGACUGAGACCCGGCCCAGACCCGUACGCAAGGCAGCAGUAUAGAAUAUUAUACAAUGAGCGAGAGCCUAAUCACGCAGUGCCGCGUAAGUCAGGAAGGCCGUAGGAUAGUAAAUCUCUUUUACACGAAAUGUUAGUGACGGUACCGGGAAAAUAAGCUCCGGCUAACUCCGUG